CUGAUGGAUGUAGAAGCCAGCCAUUCACGUCACGGAAAAUUUACAGCGCAACCUUGAGUGAUAACUGACAGACCAAUGGCAGUCAGCAGCGUCAUCGGCUAGACGGUCGGAGUCUGGAGCCUAUCCCGGGGAACUCGGGGGAACAAGGCAGGGGACACCCUGGACAAUUUGGAAAUGCCACUGGGCCUAUUAUGCCAUGUCUUUUGACUGGGGGAGGAAACCGGUGUACCCGGAGGAAACCCCCGAAACACAGAGAGAACAUGCAAGCUCUACGCACACAGGGCGGAGGCAGGAUUUGAACCCCCGACCCCGGAGGUGUGAGGCAAGCGUGCAGUUUUUCUCGUGGGAACCAUGCAGAUGUCCCAACAAGGUCAAAACUAUCAAAUAUUCCUAUCCUUGUGGGGACAUAUAAAACAUGCUUACAUACACACAAACGCAGACUGUCAUGACUAUUAAAAAACACAAAGGAAUAUAUUGUUUGUUUUUAAAAUCUUUUAUCUAAAAGGAAUCACAAAGUGUAGAUUUGAUUUUUAACUUACAAAACACAAUGUUAUACAUGAUGUUCUGUAUGGAUGUAGGUAUGUAUGCAGGAGUAGGAGGGUUUGUGCACUGUAUACAUACAUAGUCUAUUAUAUAUAUAUAUAUAUAUAUAUAUAUAUAUAUAUAUAUAUAUAUAUAUAUAUAUAUAUAUAUAUAUAUAUAUAUACAUAUACACACACACACAUAUACAUAUAUAUGUAUAUAUAAACAUUUCUAAGUAAACAUUCAAGUGGAUUUCAAGAGAACAUGAUGAGUAGGAGUAUUGGUUUUUUUUUCCCAUGUCAAAGUACAAUAAAUGUAAGUGCACAAUUAAGAGACACAAAGCACAGCAGUGUACAAAGCUGUCAUAGUCUCUCCAUCUCACAGGGCUAAAAGAAGUGG